rnacentral:rRNA from 1 species
CAGUCGUACUUACGGGUAAUCAGCCUUUUGGGUGUGAUUUUGUGGAGCGUGAGGAGUUAAACGCCUUCAUGCCUGCAUAUUCGUGCACUUUGGGUGUACUUGCCCGUGUGUAAGUUAACAUCAAUUUUGGUGGUCAUAAAAUGGCUGGAGGAAUGUAGCUUCGAUCUUGUAUUGAAGUGUUAUAGCCUUUGGUAGAUGUGAUGUUUGAGACCGAGGAUUGCAACGGAUACCCCUUCAGGGCUAUUCGUCUGAUCUCUGAUACGUUGCCUUGAUGUUGAAGCUUGCUUAUGAUGUUAGGGUAUUACGGUCAAAAGGUUAGAACG